GGGGCUGUAGCUCAGUGGAAGAGCAUCUGAUUUGUAUGCAGAAGGUCCCAGGUUCAAUCCCUGGCAUCUCCA